rnacentral:rRNA from 1 species
UACGUAGGGGGCAAGCGUUGUCCGGAAUCAUUGGGCGUAAAGAGCGUGUAGGCGGCCCGGUAAGUCCGCUGUGAAAGUCCAGGGCUCAACCCUGGAAUGCCGGUGGAAACUGUCGGGCUAGAGUCCGGAAGAGGCGAGUGGAAUUCCUGGUGUAGCGGUGAAAUGCGCAGAUAUCAGGGGGAACACCAAUGGCGAAGGCAGCUCGCUGGGACGGUACUGACGCUGAGACGCGAAAGCGUGGGGAGCAAACAGG